UACGUAGGGUGCAAGCGUUGUCCGGAAUUAUUGGGCGUAAAGAGCUCGUAGGCGGUCUGUCGCGUCGAAUGUGAAAACCCGGGGCUCAACCCCGGGCCUGCAUUCGAUACGGGCAGACUAGAGUUCGGUAGGGGAGACGUGGAAUUCCUGGUGUAGCGGUGAAAUGCGCAGAGUAUCAGGAGGAACACCGGUGGCGAAGGCGGGUCUCUGGGCCGAUACUGACGCUGAGGAGCGAAAGCGUGGGGAGCAAACAGG
rnacentral:rRNA from 1 species